rnacentral:rRNA from 1 species
UACAGAGGGGGCAAGCGUUAUUCGGAAUUAUUGGGCGUAAAGGGCACGUAGGCGGCUUGGCAAGUGGAAGGUGAAAUCCCUCGGCUUAACCGAGGAACUGCCUUCCAGACUGUUAGGCUUGAGACCGGGAGAGGUGAGUGGAAUUCCCAGUGUAGCGGUGAAAUGCGUAGAUAUUGGGAGGAACACCAGUGGCGAAGGCGGCUCACUGGACCGGUACUGACGCUGAGGCGCGAAAGCGUGGGGAGCAAACGGG